rnacentral:rRNA from 1 species
CGUGUAGGCGGUUGGUCAAGUCGGGUGUGAAAGCCCUGGGGCUCAGCCCCAGAAGUGCAUCCGAAACUAGCCAGCUAGAGCGCGAUAGAGGAGGGUGGAAUUCCUGGUGUAGCGGUGAAAUGCGUAGAUAUCAGGAGGAACACCGGCGGCGAAGGCGGCCCUCUGGAUCGUUGCUGACGCUGAGACGCGAAAGCGUGGGGAGCAAACAGGAUUAGAUACCCUGGUAGUCCACGCCUUAAACGAUGGGUACUAGGUGUUACGGGGUGUUGACCCCCUGAGUGCCGCAGUUAACGCAUUAAGUACCCCGCCUGGGGACUACGGCCGCAAGGUUAAA